UUAUUGACAGUUUUAGAAAGAAGAGUGGGCAUGAAGCAUUUUGUCUUGGAAGGAGAUCUUGUUACUGCUGCUUCCAGGGCAGCUUGUAGACCCCUGUCUUCUGUGAGUGGACCCAGGCUAGGAGAGGCCAGAGCACAGAUGGGUGGGCCGUCCCGGUGGUGCAGGACGCCCCUGCAGGAGAGCGCCAGCUCUGGGCGCUUAGGUGGUGUCUUCGCUUUUUGGGCUCUCUGCUUCCUUCAUAAAACCGGAGGGUUGUAGGACAGCAUCCAUGCCUGAGCGUGCUUCCAGAUUGCAAAUCCUGUGGCUUUAUCUUUGGAAAGGUAUUAUUUCCUGUCUCCUACCCUGCCAGAGAUACUGCGUGGCUAAACAAAAUGUAAAGAAGUGUUCUGAGCCCCGCGGGGAGUCACCCACUGGAAAACUGACGCCCAGUUCAGUUCCGGCUGUGAGACACAGCGAGCCCUCCCGAGGGAGCCCCUCCCGGCGGACCCCCUCCCCGGGAAGCCCCUCCUGGUGGACCUUCCUGGCGGACCCCUCCUAGCGGAGCCUCUCCCCGGGAAGCCCCUCCUGGCGGCCCCCUCCCGGCGGCCCCCUCCCGGGGCAGCCCCUCCUGGGGGACGGCUCUGCUUCACGGUGCGAGGCUCCACCGCCUUACAGCCCGCCCUUGGUCUCCUGUCCAUCAUGCCAGCGCUGCACCGGUGCUCGGCUCAAGGCUGCACCCUCUAGCACCGCACAGCUGCAACUUCAUCCCCUUAUGUAAAGAGAGGGAGGAUGGUUAUCUUUCAAGAGGAGGCAGCUGCUUCUGAUAGGGUGUGAGUGGGAAGUUCUCUCCACUUGGCUUUGUGAGAACCAGGGAAAUGGUCACGUUUCCAGGAAGCAGGGCUGGUACUGUGUGGCUGUGCAUUUUGUAGCCCUAAAAAGGCGCUUUAUUUUUAACUUGAAGGUUAUCAUUUCCCUCACUGUCUCUGGCAUAUGGACUUCCUUCUCUUUUUAAAUGUGUGACAUUUUAUGCUCAAAUUCUCAAAUAAUUUUAGUCUUAAUCUAAGUUGAAUUAUAGAGAUACAUAUCCUCCUAAAAUACAACUUUACAAUCAUUCAGUGCUUAAUAUACCCAAACCCUUGACUUGGAUCUGCAAGUGAUUACAUUUGCUAUCCUGGAGAGUAAGAGAGACGGAACCCGCAUUUGGCCUGAACAUCGUAUUUACAAAGAAUUUAUAAUGGAGCAGAGCUGAUGAGUUACAAGCUGCUUCAGAACUUAGGCUGCUCCUGGAGUAACAGGAGGUACAGCUAUGUUAACCUCUGAUCUUUUGGUGAAGACAGAAUAAAGUGAAGUACAUGCUAAAAGCGAUGCCGAAGAUGAUGUCUAUAAUGUUAGCACCAUCCUAAAAGUUUGCUUUUAUCCUAUUUUUAAAGGAUAGAGGGUACCUUUGAAGGAUGGCUGGCUGCAUGCUUUUAUGGAUGAGCUACAAGUCACUGGCAGGCAAUACCAAACAAAAAAUAAGUGAGAUUUAUGGAAAAAACAGAAUGGAAGGAAUCCAUAAGUAAAAUACAUCUCAGCAGACAAAACUGAUUGCCUUUGAGCUAUUUUCUGGGGGCUUGACCCUAAUGCAUCCAGAUAUGGAAGUGGUAACUGUGGAAGAAUAAUAAAGACUCAGGAAAUAGGACUUGCCAUCAAUUUUUAAAUGAAAGAGAAAAUAGAAUACCAGAAUGUUAAGCAUGUAUAUAGGUUAAGAUUUGUAACAUUAUGUUAAGUAUAAAUGUGUAUUUUUGAUAUGUGUAAAAACUAAAGUCUGUGAAUUAAAAAUUGGUCUUUAAA